rnacentral:ncRNA from 2 species
GGAGCAGCUUCUGGAGAGACCGCUUUAGCGGCGCCGAAGGGUUCACAAUCUCAGGCAAAAGGACAGAAGAGUAUAG